rnacentral:rRNA from 1 species
AUUGAACGCUGGCGGCAUGCCUUACACAUGCAAGUCGAGCGGAUGAGAAGAGCUUGCUCUUCGAUCCAGCGGCGGACGGGUGAGUAAUGCUUAGGAAUCUGCCUAUUAGUGGGGGACAACAUUCCGAAAGGAAUGCUAAUCCCGCAUACGCCCUACGGGGGAAAGCAGGGGAUCUUCGGACCGUGCGCUAAUAGAUUAGCCGAAGUCGGAUUACCUAGUUGGUGGGGUAAAGGCCUACCAAGGCGACGAUCUGUAGCGGGUCUGAGAGGAUGAUCCGCCACACUGGGACUGAGACAUGGCCCAGACUCCUACGGGAGGCAGCAGUGGGGAAGAUUGGACAAUGGGCGGAAGCCUGAUCCAGCCAUGCCGCGUGUGUGAAGAAGGCCUUUUGGUUGUAAAGCACUUUAAGCGAGGAGGAGGCUACCUGGAUUAAUACUCUAGGAUAGUGGACGUUACUCGCAGAAUAAGCACCGGCUAACUCUGUGCCAGCAGCCGCAGUAACAC